UGGGGAAUAUUGGACAAUGGGCGCAAGCCUGAUCCAGCCAUGCCGCGUGUGUGAAGAAGGCCUUUUGGUUGUAAAGCACUUUAAGCGAGGAGGAGGCUACUUGGAUUAAUACUCUAAGAUAGCGGACGUUACUCGCAGAAUAAGCACCGGCUAACUCUGUGCCAGCAGCCGCGGUAAUACAGAGGGUGCGAGCGUUAAUCGGAUUUACUGGGCGUAAAGCGUGCGUAGGCGGCUUCUUAAGUCGGAUGUGAAAUCCCUGAGCUUAACUUAGGAAUUGCAUUCGAUACUGGGAAGCUAGAGUAUGGGAGAGGAUGGUAGAAUUCCAGGUGUAGCGGUGAAAUGCGUAGAGAUCUGGAGGAAUACCGAUGGCGAGGGCAGCCAUCUGGCCUAAUACUGACGCUGAGGUACGAAAGCAUGGGGAGCAAACAGG
rnacentral:rRNA from 1 species